AGGGCAGGGAGGGGCCUCUCCCCUGUGCUGAUGUCCUUAGGAGGCCACUCUGAGUUUCCCUUCCCCACAGCCUCAGGCUGGCUCUCGCAUAAUAAUAGACAGUGCUGGUAGCCGCCACAGGACCUGGGGAAAAACAUUCCAAUUCUCCUGUCAACUGUGUCUGAAUUUCUUUUUUAAAACAGAAAUCUCUGACAGAUCUCACCAUGGACCUCUGAUUAGCUAGAUGACAUGUAGAUAAGAUUUCAGGACCUACUACAGGGAACGGAAUCCCGGGGUCUGUCACCAGUCUACUUUUCCUGCUGCAACUUCUUCAUUUGGAUGUGUCAAGAGGGCAAAUCUCUAACAAAGGAACUCCAGCGAGAGCAACUGCAAAGCCCACCACAAGGCAGAAGACACGGUCGGAAAUAGACGUGGUAAUGACAAUAGCAGAGGCUCCAGUGAGAACCAAUGUGUCUAGAAUGUGCACCUCCUUCAGUACCUGUAUACUUCCAGUACUCAUUGCUAUAAGACAUCUUCACAUAGUGAUCUGACCUUGGGCCUUGCCCCUUCGUACCAGCAUGAUGAAUCAGGAAAGCAGACUAUUCUUGGAACCAUUCCUCCACCAGAACAGAGUAGAAAGGAAGAAGAGAUGAGUGAAAGAAAAGUAGGGAGAUGAAGGAAGAAGAAAAGAUAUUGUUUUGAGAUAAUUUCUGUGUACAUCUGUCCUAAAAAGGAGAUAGGUAAGUGGUAUUUCAUAAUCUUCCUACAGUACCAUAUUCCCACAUUGAUAAAUGAAUAUAUUUAGAAUUUAAGCACAAUGUUGUUUUUUAAAUUUAUUUUCAUUUAUUUAUUUAAUAUGAAAUUGAUUGU